UAGGGAAUCUUCCACAAUGGGCGGAAAGCCUGAUGGAGCAACGCCGCGUGUGUGAUGAAGGGUUUCGGCUCGUAAAACACUGUUGUAAGAGAAGAAUGACAUUGAGAGUAACUGUUCAAUGUGUGACGGUAUCUUACCAGAAAGGAACGGCUAAAUACGUGCCA
rnacentral:rRNA from 1 species